rnacentral:rRNA from 1 species
GAUGAACGCUGGCGGCGUGCCUAAUACAUGCAAGUCGAGCGAACAGACGAGGAGCUUGCUCCUCUGACGAUAGCGGCGGACGGGUGAGUCACACGUGGAUAACCUACCUAUAAGACUGGGAUAACUUCGGGAAACCGGAGCUAAUACCGUAUAAUAUAUUGAACCGCAUGGUUCAAUAGUGAAAGACGGUUUUGCUGUCACUUAUAGAUGGAUCCGCGCCGCAUUAGCUAGUUGGUAAGGUAACGGCUUACCAAGGCAACGAUGCGUAGCCGACCUGAGAGGGUGAUCGGCCACACUGGAACUGAGACACGGUCCAGACUCCUACGGGAGGCAGCAGUAGGGAAUCUUCCGCAAUGGGCGAAAGCCUGACGGAGCAACGCCGCGUGAGUGAUGAAGGUCUUCGGAUCGUAAAACUCUGUUAUUAGGGAAGAACAAAUGUGUAAGUAACUAUGCACGUCUUGACGGUACCUAAUCAGAAAGCCACGGCUAACUACGUG